rnacentral:rRNA from 1 species
AGUAACGGCGAGCGAACGGGGAAGAGCUCAUAGCCGAAGCCGGUGCCCGAGAGGGUGCAGGCAAUGUGGCGUAUGGGAGGCGGCAUCCUUUAAGUGCGGCUGGCGGUGCAAGUCCCCAUGAGAGGGGCUCCUACCCGGAGCGGGUGCUAGGCCCGUACCGCCGCUGGCUCGCGCGGAAAGUCGUCGUUCUCCCGGGAGUCGGGUUGCUUGGGAGUGCAGCCCAAAAUGGGUGGUAAACUCCACCUAAAGCUAAAUAUGGCCGAGAGACCGAUAGCAAACAAGUACCAUGAGGGAAAGUUGAAAAGCACUUUGAAGAGAGAGUUCAAGAGUACGUGAAACCGUUCAGAGGUAAACGGGUGGGACCUCGAAGUUCCGAUGCGGUGGUGGAUUCAGACGUUGAACGGCGCGGGACCGGGAGUCUGCGGCUUCGAGAGCGAAGGCUGCGCCCGGCCCGACGAGCGGGCGCCGCAGGACCGUCGCAAUUCCACGCCCCGCUUGAAAGGACGUCGCAAGCAGUUGGCGCGGCCGUCGUGAGGGAGGGUUCGAAAGGUGGCCGCCCUUCCGUUCGCGGAGAGGCGGUGUUACAGUCGUUCCCAGGCUCCCCGACGGGUCGGUCGACUGAGGAGCGUAUCCGGCGUUCCCUCAGGAGAGCAGCCUCCCCGCGAGAGCGAGCUCGGCGCGCUGUGCCACCUCGAGGGUGAGCGGUGCGUCGGCGCGCGCCCGUCGCGGGUAGAAGCGGCGAGGGGAUCCGGAGUUUGGCGGCGAUUAGGUCGGUUGCCCACCCGACCCGUCUUGAAACACGGACCAAGGAGUCCAGCGCGCGUGCGAGUUCCCGGGACUUGACUAGGCCCGAGGGCGCAAUGAAAGUGAAGGGCGACGUCGGUCGUCCGAGGUGGGAUCCUCCGUGUCUCCGGAGGCGCACCAUCGGCCCGUCCGCUCCUGUUUAGGUUGGGCGGAGCAAGAGCACGCUCGCUGGGACCCGAAAGAUGGUGAACUAUGCCUGGGCAGGACGAAGCCAGAGGAAACUCNGGUGGAGGUCCGCAGCGAUUCUGACGUGCAAAUCGAUCGUCAGACCUUGGUAUA